AUUGGACGCUGGCGGCAGGCUUAACACAUGCAAGUCGAGCGGGGUGAUGGUGCUUGCACUAUCACUUAGCGGCGGACGGGUGAGUAAUGCUUAGGAAUCUGCCUAUUAGUGGGGGACAACAUCUCGAAAGGGAUGCUAAUACCGCAUACGUCCUACGGGAGAAAGCAGGGGAUCACUUGUGACCUUGCGCUAAUAGAUGAGCCUAAGUCGGAUUAGCUAGUUGGUGGGGUAAAGGCCUACCAAGGCGACGAUCUGUAGCGGGUCUGAGAGGAUGAUCCGCCACACUGGGACUGAGACACGGCCCAGACUCCUACGGGAGGCAGCAGUGGGGAAUAUUGGACAAUGGGGGGAACCCUGAUCCUGCCAUGCCGCGUGUGUGAAGAAGGCCUUAUGGUUGUAAAGCACUUUAAGCGAGGAGGAGGCUCUUUUGGUUAAUACCCAAGAUGAGUGGACGUUACUCGCAGAAUAAGCACCGGCUAACCCUGUGCCAGCCGCCGCCGUAA
rnacentral:rRNA from 1 species